AGAUGAUAUUUCUCUAUGUUGCCAGGCUGGUCUCCAUCUCCUGGGGCUCAAGCCAUCCUCUGCUGAAAUGCUGGGACACAGGCGUGAGCAGCCAAACCCAGCCUGUGUUGUCUUAAUUUACUAUUUUCAGUGAAUUAUCUAAUGUUCAUAAUUUAUUUAGGUUUAUUCCACUUUAAAGUUAUAUUGCUUCGAUUGCUAGAGAGGUUAAACAUUUUCUUAAAUAUUUGUUUAUCAAUAUUAUUUUCUUAUGUAAAUUUUCUAUUUUUGUUAUGUGCCUGUCUUCUAGGGUCAUGAUGUUAACUUUUGUGAGCUCUCAUAACAUGGACAUUCACCUUCUCAUAUUUGUUACAAACAUUUUCCCUUGAUGUUUCGUUGUAUUUGUUUUCUUCAUUGUACAUGUUUUAAAUAUUAUGGAGUGUAAAUGUUAAUCUUUCUGUUUGUAAUUUCUUCUAUCAACUCAAAAGUCUAGAUAGUUUAAUUUCUCUAAAACCUUGCCAAAAAUUUCAGUUUAAUAUUCUGUUGGCUUAUUUUUUGUUUAUUUGUAGAGAUGGGGUCUUGUUAUGCUGAAUAUAAGGGGAACUGAUCUCGAACUUCUGGUCUUGAAUGAUUCUCCUGCCUCAGCCUCCCAAAGUGGCGGAAUUACAGGCCUCUAAUAUCACUUAAAAACCAUCUGUUUGUUACCUAUUAGCAAUUGAUGUCUACUUUGUCAAAUUAUAUAUAUGUGUAUAACUAGUUCUAGACUUUUUAAUUAUGGUGAACCAUAUUUCAUUUUUUUGAGAAAAAUAUAUAUGACUUUGCUUAUGUGAAGCUAGCUUAAUUUUAAGUCUGUAACAAGUAACUUGAUUUUUUUUUUAACUUUUUUGUGACUUGAAAUUUGUUUGAGAAUUGUUCCUUGAGGUAUAAACAUUUCCCAGUUAUCAUGUUAGAGUUGAUAUUGGCUUAGCAAUUUUGCCUGUAAUGUGGAGACUCUUCUUGGUUUACAGCGUCUCUUGUUUGUUUAUUUUAGCUCUAGGAAAUUGUCCAUUAUGCCUUUAAUGAUUCGUUCAAAUUCAUUAGUUCUGAUCAUUAGUUAGAUCUGCAUAGUCUGUUUUAUGGCUCUUCUUCAUUUUGUUUAUAUUAAAUAAGCAUUCGAAGUAUGUGUCUUACAUACAUCUUUUUUGUUGCACUGACUUGAUUUUCUACAGUCUUGAUGUUUUUUUCCUCGGUUCUGUUAAUGGUAGUUGCUUUGCCCUGUUACAGGUUUUCUUUUUCAUUAAGCCCUUGUCCGUUUCCAGUCUUGUUAAUAGCUUAAAUGAUCUGUUUUUAGUUCACGAAGAAUAGUGUAGCACAUAAAAGAUCCUUUCAAGGUGGAAAAAAAGGAGCGGGUAGCCAAAAGAGUUGGGUUACAGAGUUUACCACUUCCCCUUAUAUUCAAUAGGUGUUGAAGUAGAUGUGACUGAAAAACCAGUGUUAACCAGGCAGCUGAGUCUAUGGAAUGUCCACCAGUCCAGGCUGGG